CCACUGAACCUGCAUUAACGACGACAGUGGGGGCUUACUGACAGCCUUAGCCAACGGGUUGGUGCGUAUGGUCCUGUUGUUUUGUUGUCUUGCGUUGUGUUGUCAUGCCAUACAAAACCGGGGGCCACUGAACCUGCAUUAACGACGACAGUGGGGGCUCAGUUACAGCCUUAGCCAACGGGUUGGUGCGUAUGGUUGUGUUGCAAUGAGAUUGUGGCAUCUAUGGUCAUUUAAGAGUGUUAUGACAGUGAGCUACAAAGCAGGUACAGCAGCAGGAAGGAUGAAGGAGUAAUGUGGCAGCUCGAGGGAGGACACUAGGAAGUAAAUGCGGCGGCGGCAGCAGCAGCAGCAUACAGGAUGCAGUGAGGAUAAGUGUGGCAACUCCAGGGAGGACACAGACAGUGAGAGCAACAGCGGCAUUGCAGAAAGAAUUUUGAGACGAUAGCAGUCCUGUCCGACAAUGGAUAUGAGUGUGCAAUAUACCAUCUAAAGCUAAGUGUUUUAAGAACUUUCUUCAGUCACUGUACUACUGCACAUUGUAACUUCUUUUGGACUUCUUUAUUUUAUUCUAAUUCUGAUUCUGAUGUUUUUCAGGAACUGCCAGGUCAGAAUGUCUGAGAAGAUCAAGUGUGCCACAACACCGAUAAUGACAAGCAGGAUACAUUGGAAAGCUGGAUUUCUUUUAAUAAUGUGACCAAACCCAUUUGGCAUUGAGGACAAUACUGAAGACUAAAGAAGCAAAGGAAGAAGCAGUCUCAGAAGAAAGAGUGGCUGAAGGAAGAAGGAGUAAUGUGGCAGCUCGAGGGAGGACACUAGGAAGUAAAGGUGGCGGUAGCAGCAUACAGGAUGCAGUGAUGAUUAGUGUGGCAACUCCAGGGAGAACACAGACAGUGAGAGUAACAGCGGCAUUGCAGAAAGAAUUUUGAGACAAUAGCAGUCCUGUCCGACAAUGGAUAUGAGUGUGCAAUAUACCAUCUAAAGCUAAGUGUUUUAAUAACUUGCUUCAUUCACUGUACUACUGCACAUCGUAACUACUUUUGAAGGAAUAUUUUAAGCUAAUUCUGAUUUUGAUGUUUUUCAGGAACCUCCAGGUCAGAAUGUCUGAGAAGAUCAAGUGUGCUACAACACCGAUAAUGACAAGCUGGAUACAUUGGAAAGCUGGAUUUCUUUAAAUAAUGUGACCAAACCCAUUUGGCAUUUAGGACAAUACUGAAGACUAAAGAACCAAAUGAAGAACCACAUUGAAGCAGUAGAGGGUGUCCAGCCUGUAUGCAAUGUCAGAUCCAGCGGCUAGAUGUCGGGAGCUGCUUCACUACACCGCUCAUUGCAUUAAUUAAUUUUAUUUUAUUUAAAAUUUAGUUUUAUCAUAUUAAAUCAUUGGUUUCUAUAUAUA